rnacentral:rRNA from 1 species
AUGAUUCAUUUCGAUCCUGUUUAUAUACAGGAAGCUUAUGCUGUAUCUCUUUCAGCAAAUGUAUUUCCCUCAAUUAUCUCUUUCAGAAGAAAACAAGAAUCUAUAAUCCUCAUGAUUUUCAAGUCGUGUUUAGAGGCACAAAUUAUACCAGAACGGCCUUGCAAGGAAAUCAUGUUUGCCAAACUGCACUGCAAGAUGUUGGAAACCCUGUCAAAGCUUGAAUUUGAAACCUUUGUUGAGCUCACCCAAGUAAAUUUACACAGGGAGGGGAGUGCAAUUAAUCAGAAGCAGAGCAUAUCAUUCCAACAUCACAAUGAAUCUACAGCAGAAGGAGAGCAAAUUUUUGAGAAUGCAUCUUUUCCCCAUUUUAUUAGUUAUUCUAUACCUAGCAGUUUACUUUGCAAGUGUGCUUUCAAGCAGCUGGUUCAACUUCUAGAAGGAUAG